CCUGGCUAUGGGGUGUGCUGCUGGGGGAAGGUGUGAGUGUUCAUGCUAGAGGAAACGUGGUGUGGGAAAGAAGACUGUAAUGAAACUUACUCCAAAUAUCCCAAGGACACCUAAUGUGAAGGCAAUCGGUUUCCUAAUGCUCUCUUCACCUCAUCUGCCAGUGCUCUGUUAAGUACCGAUAGCAUCAGAGCAGGUAAUGAACUCAGCUUUGGAGAGAUAAUGGUGUUUGUCACGCUGACAAAUGCGAGGACCUCAUGGAUAGUUUGUGUAUUGCUGCACAGUGGCACAGGCAUCUCGGGGCAGAGCUCCUGCAUUUUCGGCCUGACACCCAGAGCAGAUGAGUACUGGGGCAACGGGAUGACAGGGCUGUGGUGUUUUGGAAGAGGUGGAAAUGCAGAACGGCAGCAGCACGGAAACAACACGUUCCAAAUGACAGCAGAAGACAGAAUGAGAGCUGAGAAUACGGCUGCUCUGUGCCUCUUCGGAGCCUGUGAGCUCUUGAGAGGUCAGCCAAAACCCGUCGAAGUGUUACUGCAGUCCGGUAUCUGUGCGUGGCCUUGAUGCAUGUUGCAGUGUGUUGUGCUGGAGCUGUCAGUGCCCCUCAGUGCCCAAACACGGCUGUGGGAUGGUAUCACACCAAGCAGUCCUACGGCCCUUUCGUGCUGACCUUCCUAUUCAGAUGAACUCAGCUGCUGAAGUGUUACUAAUUGCGAUUUAAAGACAUUAUUGGUGGUAUAAACCUGGCUGUUAUGCAGGCAGCAUCUUGCCAAGAGAUGAUUAUCUCCUUUCUCUCCCAGUGCCUUGAGCGUAGAUAAGGAGAUCUGCUUGUUGCCUGGCUGAAGGAUGGCGCUGCUGACGGGAAGCCGAUUGUGCAACGCUCCACCUGGCACUGAGCUGUUGGUCAAUAAAAUGCAACAAAUCAGAUUGGAGUUUUAUGGGAUUAAUCUCUAGCAGCUACCACUAACUGCUCUACCAGAUCGUGUUCCACUCUGAUUGUUCCAGCAGUAUCUGAGCUGCCACUGUGGCAAGCAAUCUGUUACAGCAUCGUGCAGUCAUCUUACCUUGCCCACCUACUUGUGAUGGUGGGAGUUCCUCUGUCCUUGUCUGCAUCGCUCUCCCCUGUCCUGCUGCAGAACUUGCUCCUCUUGUUUGUACGGUUUCUGCAGUGAUGCCCUUCGUGCUUCACAAAGUGCUGUGAUGAUGGCAGUGAUUCUCAGAGGGGCUGCCCGGUAGUGAGGACCACGUUGUGUAUUUUGAGUAUUAUUUUCAUCAGCCUCAGCGCCGUGGCAGAGAGGGAUGCUCAGGGCUCGUGAUCCUGCUUGGCAGUGCAGCAUGGGCAGAGCCAUGGGAAGCACAAAAACCUGCUCUGCUCUCAUUAGGGAUCGUUAUCAGUGCUCACCUCCCCACAGCUGCACCCAACCUGCCCACGCCUUGAGCACUCUGUGUCUGGAGCUGAGCUGAGGGUGUGACUGUGGGCAAGGGCUUGCAAACCCGUUCAGAAGUGACUCUCAAACUUCAAAAAUAAAUUAAAAAAGAAUAGAAUCCCGUAUUGAUUGCUUUCACCUUAUCUAUUGCACGUCCCUGCAAGGAAAAUAUCAUCAAUCAGAAUGCUGAGAUGAAUGUAGUUUUUGGGUUAAAUUCCAGUGUUUUCAGUUUCACCUCAUUGGGAUGUUUCCUGAGUGAGGCGAUUCUUCUCAUUGCUGAGAACUGCUGAUUCUUUCUUAGCUUUUAAAGCAAUAAUCAAAGCCACAGGAUCAGAAUCUUUAUUACAAAUAUUGUUUUGUAAAAUGUUAUUCCUGGGUAAGUCCUUCAACAUGAGAAAGGAAUUAACUCGUCACAGAGCUUAUUAAAUGAUGGAUAUUUUCAAAAUGGAUUUUGCCACUUAUUCACACUUGAAAUACAUAUUGAUGCCAAAGAUGAAAAUCUUUCUGAAAUCUGAGGAGGAAAAAAUCAGUUUGGAAAUUCACCUGUCAGACACUCAUGUUCAGUGGCAUCCCAAAGAUGAACAGAAUGUCACUGGCUGUUAACCCAAAGGGGCCCAGGGAGAGUCUGGGGCCUUCAGGCACCUCCUCUUCUGGAUGGGGAGAGCUGGGGGGUUUGGCUGCCGUGCCCUGCAUCUCAACCUUGACAUCCAAAGGGAUGUGCAGAACGAUAAUAGUGUACUUGUUGUGUUUCAGACAGAAACACACAUGACCUAUUCAGGAACAGUAUAACAU